rnacentral:rRNA from 1 species
GACGAACGCUGGCGGCGUGCUUAACACAUGCAAGUCGAACGAUGAAGGAGAGCUUGCUCUCCGGAUUAGUGGCGAACGGGUGAGUAACACGUGACUAACCUGCCCCUUUCUCUGGGAUAACGCUCCGAAAGGAGUGCUAAUACCGGAUACGAACUCUGAACACAUGUUCGGAGUUGGAAAGUUUUUCGGAAAGGGAUGGAGUCGCGGCCUAUCAGCUUGUUGGUGAGGUAACGGCUACCCAAGGCGACGACGGGUAGCCGGCCUGAGAGGGCGACCGGCCACACUGGGACUGAGACACGGCCCAGACUCCUACGGGAGGCAGCAGUGGGGAAUAUUGCACAAUGGGCGAAAGCCUGAUGCAGCGACGCCGCGUGAGGGAUGAAGGUCUUCGGAUUGUAAACCUCUUUCAGUAGGGACGAAGCGAAAGUGACGGUACCUAAAGAAGAAGCACCGGCUAACUACGUGCCAGCAGCCGCAGUAA